GUCAAUUCAAUAUCAUUCAAUUCAUCAUUGCACAUAUUCACAUCAUAUAUUAACAUAUUGCUAGUACAAACUUCGUAAAAUUUUAUAAAGUUUGACUUCUGUUCAAGCUAAUAUGUGAAGUAAAUAAAAACCGAUGGAGUAAGGAAUUUUUGCAUAUGCAUAUAUUAUAUAAUGACUUACAUCCAUGAAUUACUUUGUAAAUUUUCAAAGCAAGUAGUAGUCGUAGAUGACAAUUGAAUAACUCUUCGUUCAAACUUUUUUCUUUAAAAAAUCUUCAUCCAAACUCUUGUAGCUUGUUGGUAGUCGUCACUUUACUUGGCCACGGCGGCCUCCUUGCCGUCGGCAGCUGCGGUGGCGGGGACCUUGGCCUUGCCAUCGUCCACUUUGCCGAAGGCGGAGACGGGGAAGGUCCUCCUGAGCCCGGUGGGCGUCUUGAAGGUGAUCUUGGAGGGGUCAUCCUUGUCGAUGUACAUAUCACAGAGGGUGAUCCAGAUGAGGAGUUCCUUGCUCUUGACCCCGGUCAUGCGCUUCAUCUUGCGGUCCUCGACGAAGGCCGUCACCUCGGUGGCGUACGAGACCUGCCUCCCGAUCUGCUUGAAGGUGUGCGUGAGCGCCUUCUUCUGGCGAAGCCAGACGAAGCCGGUGGCGCGGUUGUAACCCACCUCCUCGAUGUCGGCCAGCGGCAGCAGGCCCAGCGGCAAGUUGGUCUCGGCCAGCAGCUCCACCGCCUUCUCCGCGCACAGCGCCGCGCCGUGGUACACCUCCGCGCCCUCCCUCUGAGCCUCGAUUGCCUGCGCCAUCUCGACUGGUUGAAUGAAUCAAAUCUCUCCAAGUAAACUCAGAUUCAACUCGACGGUCUGGAGUUGCUGGGGCCUUUUUGGGUCUUGGGGGAUUUCGUUUGCUGUUGUGGGAUUGGGGGUUGGAGAGGGGUGGAUUUUAUAGGUGGAAAGCAGAUGGAUACGGUCGUCCGAGCUGGGGAGGAGGGAGGUUGGGAGAGGGGAUUUAAGACAAUGGCUUAUUAAUGCGUGGGGAAGAAGACGGUUGGGUCUCUGGCUCUCCGACGCACGCACGCGGGCGUGCCGUUGCUGGAUUCCUUGCUAUUUUUUCUUAACUGUUCCCCUGCAUAAUGAAUCAUGUAGGUUUAUGUCGCCUUGGGUAACAGCAUCUCAACUCGCCUCCCCCCGUCCCCACACCCCUACACACAGCCCCCCACGUGCCUUUUUUUUAGUGUCGACAGCGCAAAAUUAGCCCAGUCGCAUUCCCAACUCCUCGUUCAGCACAGGUUUGGGUUAAAAUAACAGCCAACGAACCCGAGCCGAACCCAGCCCCCCGAAGGUGCGUGGAAGCGUCGGUGGAAGCGAAAAGCCAAGCGGGCCCGCUCUGUCGGCGGCAACGGGGCCAUUCCUGCCGUUUUCUCCCCUUCCCUCAUCCCUUUCCCUCCAUUUCCCCGCGUCCUCCCGCCAUUCUUCUCCCGCUCCCGCCAUCCGUCCGCCAUGCCGCCGAAGAAGUACACCUUCCCUCGCCUCGCCACCGCUGCCGAUUCCAGCCAGCCGAAGCAGAUGAAGUCGAGGAAGCCGAUACCUAUGCCGGCUGGCGUUUCAGAUGCCAAGUGGAGGGUGGAUGUCCAGAGUCGGGAGGCAACCACAAAAAACCUGCUAAGGAGGCUCGACGCAAAGAGGAUCAGGGACGCAGCGGCGGCGGCGGCGGCCACGGUAGAUCAGGAAGAGGCGUCCUGCGUGGGGAUGAUGAAUCCGCCCGGCCGCAACCCGCAGGCCGUAUGGAGGGGUCGCCCGGGCGUUGCGUCGGCCACCCUCUCGCCAACGUUGCUGCCCUCGGGGUACGUACCCUCGCCUGGCUACUCCGACGGCGACGCGCAUGGCGGCUUCAAUCCCAACACCACCUUGCCGCAUGGCGCGUGUCGUGGGUAUAAGCCUGACAGUAGAUGUGUAGGGUACGAAAGGAUGGGCAGAGCCUUAGCUACGACGAGGUUGUAUGAGUUCAGGCCCCUCUGCAGUGGAGGUAAUAGCCCUACGUCUCAGUGCUCAGGGAGCUUGUUGUCGAGUGGAAUAUAGAAUACAGUGAAUUGCUAACCCCUGCGCCAGUGGGAGAGGGUGGCUUAUAUAGAGUGCGUUGCCCUCCACAACGGUUCGAUGCACAGGGGUGGAGUAGUGGCGAAUAAAUGCCUACGUUACAGGUCGUACGUCUUAAAUGUUAAUAAAGGCACAUAGAAACGUAUGACCGUUUCCCUCCACGGGGGUUACGAUGCACAGAGUGGAAUCCAGUCGGUUAGUUUGAUAAACUCCGAAUGCUAAUCUCCGACUGGACGGUCGAGGAUCUGUUACCGACUGGAUGAAGGGAACUCCUUAGUUCAGUCGGAACUGGCUAAGGGCCUUGUCCCUUAUGAGGGGUAGUCCUUGGGUUGGACCUUCAGGGCAGGCCUAUGACCCUACCCUAGGACUAUAACCCCAUCAUUAGUCCCCGAAUGGACUGGGGUUGGAACGACGAAGCGAUGCUUGAAGUUUGGAUCCGACUGGAAUGAAUGUGACUUUGGCGUUGCUUGCCUCGAUCCAUUUUAUCUUUUCUGACCAACGAUCCGAGUGGAAGUAUUGGUGGAACAAACUGUUGGAAACCGAGUGCUUCCAGGGUAUCUCCUGACAUGGCUAGUCAACUAACAGCGGCGGAUUUUCCGGGAUCCUCAAAUUUCGGUUACCGCGCGCUCAGCGGGGAUGACGACAUCGCGCUCGAGUAGCGCCUGACGCCUCGAUUUCCGCUCCUUCAUCUUCUCCACUGAUAUCGCCGCGGUUGGUCGGGGGAUAAGGUUUCGGGGCCACCUGCGAGUGACGCAGUCGAAACCUUACUUAAACCUCAGCGGCGAGGGUUUUCUCGUUACGCUCGCCGGAUCUCUUGCCUUUGAUUGCUCCGCUCCUCUCGCCUCCUCCUGCGCACCCAAGCUCCUUCCUUUUCCUUCUACUCCGCGGACCCGCAGCUUCCGCCAUGACCAACGGACAGACUAGCAAGUUGGAGGCGAACAAGAAGAAGGGGAAGGCGGCGGCUCCUGCUCAACAGCGGCAGCGAGCGUUGCCGGCGGGGUGGAUCCAGGGGGACUUCCUCCCCUCCACGGUGACGGAGGGGGAUCUGCUGGAGCUGGUGGAGCACCGGAUGAUCGUGCACAAGUCGUGGAGGUUGCCGGCGGAGAAUGAGAUCGAGCCGGCGCCCCGGGAGGGGGAGCGCGUCCUGCUGCUCAGCCACGUAUACCGAGGUUUCUCCCUGCCCCCGCAUCCUUUCUUCAAAGGCAUAAUGAACCACUUCGGGGCGCAGCUUCACCACUUUCCCCCGAAUGCUAUAGCUCAUCUCUCUGCUUUCAUAGUCUUGUGCGAGUGCUUCAUCGGCUGUCCCCCCCCCCAUUGGGGGCUUUUCAAACAUAUUUUCUCUGCUAGAUCCCAAACUAUCAAACGACUUACCAGUCGGAUGAUAAGACACACCUUCUCCAGCUCUGCGGAGGCUUAGGUUUCCAGAAGAAGAGUAGAAGUAGUUAUCCUGCUCUUCAGCUGAGUGAGUCGGUUAGGAACUGGCAGUCGACAUGGUUCUACUGCCAGGACGUUGCUUGCCCGAAUGCCACGACAGGGUUGCCUCCUUUGAGCUUAGAUCGACCCGCUCCGCCUAAGCAGCUUGUGCUCACGAAGGCGGAGAAGAUCGACAUCCAGCCUCUGGUCGACGCACUCGUAGAUGUCGUCAAGAGGGGAGUCACCGGCAUAGAUUUGCUGGAGGUUUUCCUCGGUCGGCGCAUCCAACCACUACAGGCUCGCGACCA
rnacentral:lncRNA from 1 species